UCCUACCUACAUCUCACAGUGGCAUGUGAAAGUCACGCACUUCAGCGUGUUGCCACUGAAGUGCAACACGCUAGAUAUGAUUAGGGACUGGAAACUCCCAUAGUCCCGCAGUACAUGAGUCGAGUGUGGGUCCUGUCAGAGAAAUCAGCCCUUCAAAAACAAGCUCUUUAAAACCAUCAUCCAGUUUACUCACAGUUCUGUUCCCAUUAGAACCUGAGAAAUGAUCUGGUUUUACACUCAAGAAAUAUUUUUUCUCAGACUUUCUUAAAACAUGAAGAAGAAGAAACCGUCUCACUGCUAACUUUAUAUGGAUGAGCAGUGAAAUCAUGUCUACUAGGGGUGAUUUUAUGAGUCAAGGCAGAAUCACAGCUUCUUUGGAAGUGGUAUCUUUUUGCUUAUUUAGAUAUGCCACAAUUCAUCCACGCAUGCAAUUAUUAAAUACUCCAAUAGGGUGUGCCGUGGUGGCAUAGCGGUUAGCGCGACCCGUAUUUGGAGGCCUUGAGUCCUCGACGCGGCCGUCGCGGGUUCGAUUCCUAGACCCGGCAAUAUUUGCCACAUGGCUUCCCCCCUCGCCUUCCCCCUUUCCUGUCAGCCUACUUUCAUAUAAGGGACACUAGAGCCCACAAAAGACCCCAAGGAGGG